rnacentral:misc_RNA from 1 species
GUUAGAUCAAUUUAGAAAGCAAUCAGGUGAACAACCAGGACAGAGUGGAUCUAUAGAUUGUAAAGAGAUGUUAGAUCAUAUUAUUUCACGGUUGAAAGAAAAAUCCUGUCUCAUUGUUUUUGAUGACAUCUGGGGCGACAAGCAUUUCACUUGGUGGGAGGGCUUUUUCUCUUAUGUAUCAACUAUAGCUCAUAAACAAACUUGCUUUAUUAUCACGACCAGGGAUAAAGAAGUUGCGUAUGCUAUCCA